GAUGAACGCUGGCGGCGUGCCUAAUACAUGCAAGUCGAACGCUUCACUUCGGUGAAGAGUGGCGAACGGGUGAGUAAUACAUAAGUAACCUGGCAUCUACAGGGGGAUAACUGAUGGAAACGUCAGCUAAGACCGCAUAGGUGUAGAGAUCGCAUGAACUCUAUAUGAAAAGUGCUACGGGACUGGUAGAUGAUGGACUUAUGGGGCAUUAGCUGGUUGGUAGGGGAACGGCCUACCAAGGCGACGAUGCGUAGCCGACCUGAGAGGGUGACCGGGCACACUGGGACUGAGACACGGCCCAGACUCCUACGGGAGGCAGCAGUAGGGAAUUUUCGGCAAUGGGGGAAACCCUGACCGAGCAACGCCGCGUGAAGGAAGAAGUAAUUCGUUAUGUAAACUUCUGUCAUAGAGGAAGAACGGUGGAUAUAGGGAAUGAUAUCCAAGUGACGGUACUCUAUAAGAAAGCCACGGCUAACUACGUGCCAGCCGCCGCCGUAA
rnacentral:rRNA from 1 species